rnacentral:lncRNA from 1 species
CUGCCUCAGGAUAUGGUUCAGUCAUCACCUCCUUCAUCCAGCCUUCUCUACCUCUUUGUCUUAACAUUGAAAUGGCCAGCGUGUUCUUCUACCUGCCUGCCAGACAUGCAGGCCCAAGGUACCAGGAGGCAGAUGCUGACAGAUGCAUCUCAGUAUGCCCGGCACCUCCACCACACAAGGGCUGUGCUGGUUGCUGUGGGAAUGCUGCAGGGCACAAAACGGAUAAUGCUGGAGGGAGAAGACAGCAAACACAAGGCUCAAGAAACUCCAGUAUGUAAGAAGAGGACAUGCACAAUGGAAGAGGGAAGCCACCAUGCAGAAUGUCGGGGUGCACUUUUAAAUGGGACAGUCAAGAUGAGGAAACUGAGGCUUGGCGUCUCAUUGAGUGACCUACCCAAAAGUUACCCAAGGAGAAAUGGGCUCGCAGAGAUUUGAAUCCUGGUCUCCGGCCUUCCUUUAGACACUUGGGGUGCUCCCAAGUCUGCAUUUGGAGAGGGGAACAGCAUUAAAGUAUCAGCUGGAGCUUCUCAGCUUGAAAUCCUAGGCCUCUUCCAGAGGCCAGAUGUUCGGAUGGUACCAAGGGGCUCUCCGCUGAGUCCUAGGCUGGGAGCAGAGUAAACACUUGGAAACUCAGUGUCCAGAUGCCACGAUUUCUAGUAAGUAUGGAUUCAAAUUAAAUGCUGUGGUAAGUAGUAUGUUACCAUACUUCUAAUCUUAUUAUUUGUUUAAACAGAGGGUGCUUGCUAACCUCGUGCUUCUGUUAAUGACUUGGGCACUCAAUGAGUUCGUGUCCACCCAGAAAGCAUUUGUUUAGCUGGCAGGCACCCAGGCUGGGCCCGGCUGUGUGCAGGUCCUGGGCUCUCACAGCCAAGUCAACUGCAAUCCUGAUGUCUGAGGAGCUCCUGGUCCAGUCGGGGGAGGGACCCAGAAACAGGCUGAGUCUGCUUAUGGCUGGAAUUGGGUAAUGGCAAUGAGAACAUGAACUUAACCCUUACUGUGGGCGAGGGGGAGGGCCCAUCAGGAAAGUGCCUGGGGGCUGGGUCCUGAAGAUGAAUAGGAAUGUUCUAGAAAGUAAGCAGAAAGGCAUACCUGGCAGAGGGUUUUGCAGGCGCAAGGACCUAGAAGUACAGCAGGGUGAGGUGCAUCUGGAGGAGAGUUUGGUGUGGGUUAGGAUUUGUGGCUGUCAGAUAUAUAGUUUUCCUUCUCCUGCCAUCUCCUGUUUGAGUCUUUUAGAAACAGAGGAGGCUAAGGAAAGUGAAAAUGAUUCCAAAGGAAACAAAUCCCUGCCCCCAUUUCCUGAUUUGUCCACUGCCAUGCCUCUGACCUCCUGCCUCCUCAGUCUCUGGUGUCCAGCAGGAAAGAAUCCAGGGCUCCAAAUCUCUCCAGGGCCAUGUGAUACCCUGGCCUAUGGGAAGAUGCCCUGGUCACUUUUCCUAGGCUCCUCCAGGUAGCCGAGCCUCAGCCACCAGGGCCACAGACUUCUCUGCUGCCUUGAGGGACCUACGGGACUAGCAGGAGCUGCUCUUCCUCGUACGACUUCUACCCACCCAGGUAACCAAAAACCUAGGUGUCCUUCUCAGUGACUCCCUUCCCCCACCCCACCAUGUCCAGUCUAUCCCCAAACACUGAUGCUUCUACCUCUUAAGAGCAUCUCCCCAGUUCCACCUCCUGACCCAGCCCAGGCCUUAUCACCUUUUGCCUGGGGGUUUUGGCAUUACUCAGCUCAUCAACUGCUCAGCCUCCAGUCUCUCCUUCUCCAGUCCACACCGCACCAGAGUGAGCCUUCUAGGAUGACCAUGCCACUCUCCUGUGUGAAACCCUUAUCAAGGGCUUUGAUGUUAAGUGUUUUUAUUUUUAUUUAUAUAGUUUCCAUUUUUAAUCAAUAUUUUUAUUUUAAAUUGCAUCCAAAAUCAUCAGUGAAGAGAGAGAACUGCAAGGAGAAGGGAGAGUGGGGGAGGCAUAAUCAUUGCAAGAUGUGAGCUGGAGUACCUUGUUUCUUACCAGAAUCAUCCUUCAGCACUGCAACGGGCCAGGCCCUGGGCUAGGGAAAUGUGGGGCAGGCAGGAAUGAAUCUGCCCGAGUCCCUGCCCAGAAGGACCUCUCAGCAGGUGAGAAGAGAGGAGACAUUUCCAGGCAGCACAUGAGAGGAGCCAUAUCCAGGGCGCAGCUGUCUGGGAAUGAUCUGGGUGACUAAGCAAAGAGGACCAGCCAGGGAAGGCAGGACUCAGGACACAGACAGGAGGAAGCGUCGCCCUAAAUCAAAUCCCAGGAAAGGUCCCACGAUGACAGAAGGGAUCGUCGUGGAUCUGAGGCAGAAGUGCUCUGAAGCCCAAGCUGGCAGGUCUUCCAGCAGGCAGUGCGGCUGCCUUUUAUUGUAAAUUAAAUAUAGCUGCACUUCAGCUUUCCAAAGAGCUGGGAAGGAGAGAAGGAGAAAGAAAAAGAGAGAGAGGAAGAGAAGAAAAGCUGCCGCCCUCAGGAAAGUCGGUAAACUGAGGCAUUCCACCUAAGAUCCCGUUCCUCGGUAGAAAGGAGAACAGGGACAUGAGCCCUGCACACACUCUGUGUUCAGCCACAAACCAAAGUUGAGGCUCAGGGGUGAUUUUAUCUGCAAUGACAAGUCCAUCCCCAGGCUCAGACAGGUAUUGUUCCAGGCCCAGCAGACGUCCCCAAGUUAAACACACAUCCAGGGCUCAAACAGACAUUGCCCCCAGGCCAGGAAGAUGAUGUACCAGGCCCAGACAGAUGUUGUGCCAGGUUCAAACACAUGUCCUGAGCUCAGACAGAAGCUGUCCCAGGGCCAGAUAAUGUGCUGGGCUCAGCCAGGUG